rnacentral:rRNA from 1 species
UCAGGAAUAUUGGGCAAUGGGCGAAAGCCUGACCCAGCAACGCCGCGUGAAGGAUGAAGGCCUUCGGGUCGUAAACUUCUGUCGAGAGGGAAGAAUGUGUACGGGUGAACAAUCCGUGCAUUUGACGGUACCUCCAAAGGAAGCACCGGCUAACUCCGUGCCAGCAGCCGCGGUAAUACGGAGGGUGCAAGCGUUGUACGGAUUCAUUGGGCGUAAAGCGAGUGUAGGCGGUUUGACAAGUCGGAUGUGAAAUCCCGGGGCCCAACCCCGGAACUGCAUCCGAUACUGUCUGGCUAGAGUCCCGGAGAGGGUGGCGGAAUUCCCGGUGUAGGGGUGAAAUCCGUAGAUAUCGGGAGGAACACCAGUGGCGAAGGCGGCCACCUGGACGGUGACUGACGCUGAGACUCGAAAGCGUGGGUAGCAAACAGGAUUAGAUACCCUGGUAGUCCUACGCUGUAACGGUGAGUGCUCGUCGUCGUGGGUAUUGACCCCUGCGGUGACCAAGUU